rnacentral:lncRNA from 1 species
UUCCCUGUACUGUAAUUUGGUUUUUUUAGUCUACAAUAAAACUAUUGGCACAUGAAGAAAUUAUAUGUUAAAACUAUAAUUGGUAAGCAUGUUCUAUGUUACAAGCUCUUCAUGCAAAUUCUCUGCAUCUAACACAAUUCACCCAUAAAUAUUUUGUCCCGCAAAAUGAAUUUCCAACAAAAAUAAUAAUAUAGCCGGUGAUAUUUUCUCCCCUCAAAUGUGAAUACUUCACCCACAAGACCAUACAAUCUCAACAUCAUUGUUGUGUCCCUGCCAAAGAGACCUAUGUUAGCUGAUUCCAAAUUUGAUUUUUUAGUAAAAAGAUGUUCAUAUUAAAUAAUGGUAAGUAACACGUGAUAGAAAGACCACACUAUAGCUCUGUUGCAAUAGCAAGUAAGAAUAAAACCAUACAAUUAAUAUAAGAAAAUACCAGUUUAUAGAGACAUAAGUAGGAGAAAAAUGAUAAGAAGUUCCUUAAGUACUGCACUUGGAAUUCUUGUUAAUUAAUCUUUUGUUGCUUGCCUGAAGCUGAUAACCAUGAAAAUUAAUACUACAAUACACAUCUUGAAUUAUUAGCUUAGCAUGAACCCCACUUCGAACAAGAAUAACCUGAUGUAUAACGGAGGUCUAAUAAUGAUUACCCACUUGAGUUGUUCAAAAUUGCUCAAAUAACAUUUCAAUCAAGAAAAAGCAAUCAUUUUAUAUAUUCAAUUUACCUGAUACACUAAUACCAACCAAACUACUUCAUCCAUUUCUCGUUUUCAUUUCCAACUCAAAGAAACCAAAUAAAUAAUUCAGCAUGAUAUUAAUUAAAGCAGCAUUUAUUUCUCUUCUUUUAUUAGUAUAUUCAAGAAACAACAUAAACAAAUCCACAACAUGCAAUUAUUUUCAACUACUCAUAUAAUGCUCCAAACAUCUAAAAUUUUACCAAAUUAACGAUCAAUUCAUCGCUCAACUUCUGCGCACCGAAUCUAUUUCAAGAUUUUAUGUUUUUUUGACCUAAGGUAAAUCACCAAUAGCUAUAAGACACUAUCAACCACAUUUGAGCACCCCAUAAUGGUUGAUUUACAAUUUUUUGGGAGUCCUAAAUUGUUUAUCAGCUUUGUAUCGAGGUACUUAGAAUAUCAAUACCCACCUUAAGCAUAAUAGAUAGAACUUAAUAUUGUUGCGUGCUUAGUGUCUUGAUUAAUACAUGUAUAUCAUUUAUGCGGGGGCUAUGUUAUAUCUCUAACAUAUCCCUCAUUUUGAUUCAUUGGUCAGUGCCAUCAAUUCUACUAUUUAGUCUUUUUCCUCAUACAACAAAUCUUACUUGGUCUUUCCUAAAGUUAAGGUCAUUAUUUCACAGCUGGUCAGGUAGUUCAAUAAUGUUAAAAAGCUUAAACAAUUCCAUAAGUUCGUGCAGAAAAUGCUAAAAUGGCUACACAUUAGAAAAUUCACAAAAAGGCAGCAAUAAAAAUUCAAAUAAGCAAAGUAAGCAGUGGGAAGCAACAUCUAUAUGGAAUGUUUAAUAUUUUAUUUUUUGGAUUUCCACCUUAUUAGUUAUCUUCAGAUUAAGUUAUCAUGUCAUCUUUUAGAAUGUCUCCAAGUUUCAACUUCUUAUCUUAAAAAUAUGCUUCCUCAAGAAGGAGAAAUAAGAUGAGGAAAAAUGACUACAGGAACACGAAAAAAAAGUACCUUGUACUGGACAAAAAGAGACCAUAUACCUAAUACAGAAAACAACAGUGGCAACCUUUGCAUCGCAUAGAACGGAAGGUCCCCAACUUCUUCAAAAAAUCCAACAAGCUUCUUCUACCUUUCAUCCAACUUUCCUGCAAUUCACAUUCUCUGUCAAUAUUCACCAAAAGCCAACUUUAUUCUUUGGAUAAAAAGAACUCUACAACAUUGUCUUAUCUAAUGUUCUUAUUAAACAGAAAGUGCAUAAAGGAUGGGGUAAAAUAAGUGGCAAGGACAGGGAGAAACACAGGAAGAAUGCAGAUAAGGAGAGAAAUCUGGUAGCUAAUGCUGCAUGUAAUAGAGCACCAUAUUGCUACCUCCUAGGCAUGUGGAGGACUAUCCAUAUGUGUAAUGUUUGUACAGAAAAUAGAUUAAUCAAUCGCUAAUUUGACUGUGAGGCAAUGUUACAUCCUCAUCCUCACAUAAAAGGAAACACAAAACAGAAAUCGACAGACAAUACAAAUAAAUUCUUUGUAUUAGGAGACACAAUCUAAAAAUGCCAAGAUAAUAUAUGUUGUUGCACGACUAUCCGAUAUCAAAAGUAUGAGAUGGUAUUGAAAAUAUAUUCUACCACUUACGAUAUAUAAUGCAAUAAUGCAUGGUCCUAAAGUGAAUUUGAAUGUUUAAAAAAUCAAACGCUUAUAACUGAAUCUGAUCUAAAAGAGAAUAAAACCCAAAAGCAUACACGUAGUACCUAAUGCAUCUCUGCCCCUUAUAUGAAGAGAAAUUUGAAGGAGUUUAAAAAUAUAUACUUUGAUGACCACAUCAUUAAGGAAAAAUAGUUCCAAUUCUUUUUCUUGUAGCGCUAAAGCAGAAAACAUACUUUGUUUAUUUAAUACAAAGAGAACAAUAAACCUCAAAAGACAACAUUAAUAUAACCAACAAGACCACAUAAUUUAAUUACCGUGACAAAAAGUAUAGACAAUACUGAAUCUCAAAACUUGGAGCAGCUUCAACUUUAGUAUAUCUUUCAGCACGAGCCUACGCAGAAAAAAAAAGAGCAUCCAAAUACCUUGCAAUAUAGCGUUUGCGAGUAUUGCUCAAUGGGGGAAAUUCAAUCUGAGAGUGAAAUAUAGUAUAAAAUUGACGAAAAAAAUAUUCACAUGUAUGUAAAAAAUCCAAUUUAACAUCCAGUUAGCAAAAAAUGAAUUGCAGAAAAACCCACCAAAAUAAAGAGCUUACACUUUGAAAGAUGAACGCCAUAGGAAGAAGCUAAAAUUUGAGAUUGAAGAAAGAAACAUACAGAUAUAGGAAUAGAGAAAGAGAAGGCAAAAGAGAGAAAUGGCUAAAAUGUCU